UCUUCUGACUAGUGCCCUAGUUGCCAAGGAAAGAGGAAUAGUGUUUGAGGAGCUGUCUACUCAGAUAGAGGGAAAAUGAACGUUUCUAACAGUGAGUAAUGCAGACUGAGUAUGCACGAGGAAUUAUACUAUUUAUGCAGGUCCUGGGCAAACAGAGACAGGAAAGACACUCCCACCACCUCCAGGAGGCUCCAUCUGGUAGGAAAGACAGUGGAAGUACUGGCCAAUGGUCAUUAACAGGCGAGAGUAUUAAGGGACAUGAGAACAAAGACAUGACGUUGGUUGGUAGAAGGACUAUGGGAUUUGGAGUUCUGAAAGGCAUAGCCAACGUGGUCUCUUUCUUGCUGAGUCACUUAGGCAAGUUCGGUUUCCUCAUCUUUAGAAGGUGCGUAAGUAUAUUUUAUCUUGCAGGCUCACUGAAAGCAUUAAUUAGCUGCCCCUGUAAAGCACGUGUGGUUCAUGCAGGCCUCAUCCAAUGCCCGAGACAUAGUUGGUGCUCAAUAAGUAGUAGCUACAUAUUGGAUACCUAGCAUUAUGUGUUUAUGUAUUUGCAUGUAUGUCUACAGCUUUAAAUUCCUUCUUUCCUUUCUUCUAGUAUUUAUUGAUAUCAGGGACUUAGCAGUAUAGAAAACAGCUCUCCCUGCCCACAGAUAGCUUAGGUUUUAGUAGGGAGAGAGAGUAAAUAAAAUAAAUAAGUAAAACACAUGAUGUUGGAUGGCGACAAGUGCUACUGAGAAAAGUAAAGCAGGAAAACAGGGGUGGAGGUUGUGGGUGGAGGUUUACAUUAUAAAUAAAAUGAUUAGGGCGGUCUUCCCAAGGGGAUGCUUGAGGGAAGCAGCCAGCUGGAUAUUUGUGAGAAAAGCAUUUCAGGUGGAAGGAGUUGGAAGAGCAACAGUUCAGAGGGGCGAGUGGCCUGGUGUGCUCAGGGAAGUGCAAGGAGCCCAGCUUAUCUGGAGGGGUGGGGCCUGAGCUGGGAGGAGUGCUAGUUGAAGGUGGGGCAGAGGGCCAGAUGGAGCAGGGCCUCAUAGGCCAUGGGAAGGAUAUUACUUCUUGGAAUGAGACAGGGGCCAUUGGAAUUUUGAGCUGGAGAGUGGUAUGGCCUGACUAUGUAAUACCAGGAUGACUGUGGUUGCCAUGUUGAGAAAUCACAUGUGGGAGAAGGAGUCUGUGUGUAUACAUGGGCGUGCGUGGACGUGUUUGUGCAUGUAUGUGCGUGUGUGCAUGUUAGCAUCGAAUCAGAGAAGCUUGAUGUAAGCUGAGAAUGUGAUUGCCUUGGGUUACGAGGACAAAUGAGAAUGGAGAUCAGAGAAGAUGAAGGAGGAGAAAUAUGGAGAAAUAUGGUUCGCAUUGUGGGUUUGGCCCUUCCUUGUUAUUUGUCUGAAUGAUUUCCCAUUGCUUUGGGUUGGGGAGAUUGUGGCAGGAAGUGAGGGGCUGUUGGCCUCUCCACCAGGUCAGGGCUGGGCCUUGAACAUGCCAGAUUGUGGUGGAAUGGACAUUGUGGGAAAGGCCCAACACUCUGGUAUGUGUCAGAAACAAGAGCAAGCCAAGACCUGAGGUCAUGUUGAGGGCAAGGCAGGGACCCUUUCACUGUGGUUUUCCUGUGCUGGAAUAAGGAGGAAGGGAAUUCUUGGUAGAGGUGGGAGGAGGGGGUGAGAGCCUGGAAGCACAGUCAUUGAUAAGUGUGUGUCCGUGGAUUGUCCCAAUUCCCCAAGAAGAUGUGAGGACCCAAGAGCUGAAGAGUAUGACCUAAAGUGUCCAAAAGAAGACAAGACAAGAAGGAAGAAAACUAACUCUUGGGUAGUGCUCAUUUUGUGUUAAGUACUGUUUGGAGUACUUGAUUUGUAUUAACUCCUUCAAUCUUCAACAUGGUUCUAAGAGGAGGUAGCAUUAUCAGCCCCAUUUUGCAGAGGAAGAAACUGAGGUUAAGGACCUUGCCCAAAGACCUACAGUUAAUAAGUGCUGGCCAUUGUUGUCACACAUGAUUCUGACUCCAAAAGCCUCAUCUCUUUUCCCUUUAUCAAUCUGGUAAUCAUUUGUUAUUUCUUAUGUGGAAUUCUUUUUAGGAAAUAAUCCAUACAAAUAUACACAAAGGAGCUGGGUGGUCACAAAGGAAAAAGCAGAUGGCUCAAGUUCUUAAUUCUCCCUUUCCCUACACACUUAAUAUGUGUGUGGGGUACCUGCCUGGCAGCUGGCUAUUUCCACCUCUUGGUCAUUUAUUGACAUAUGUGUCAUCCUUCUUCCUAUGGCUGGAAACUCACUAAGGCCAGAGUCCACAAGGAAUUCAUUUUUAUAUUUACUAGAAUUCAUUUUUAUAUUUAUGCCUAAAACAUAGUAGGUUCUCAGUAAAUAUGAAAUAAUUUCUCAAGUUGAAUGGAUGUAUUUGGUAGCCAAUUCUAAAGUUAUCCAUUUCUGAAAAUAAUGAAAAGAGGACAUUUGAACAUGUGACUCAUAAGACAAGGUUACACUUGAAUGGAGCUCUUAUGAUUUUCAGAACCCUUCCGCAGUUUAUCUCAUUUUGUCCCUUUGCCAACCCUUGUAAAGAUGGUGGGCCACACUUUAUUUUUCCAGUUUAAUUAGGAAAAAACCGACAUUAGUGUCAACAAGUGAUCUAUCCAAGGUCACAAACAGGGUUAUUUUGGUUUUGUUUUUUUAUUUUGUUUUUAAAAUCAGAGAAGAAUGGGAACUAUCAUCUCCCAAUUUCCUAUUUUGUGAACAGCAUGUACCUACUGAGUACAAAGCUUGAACACGGGACCUAAUGAUACUCUUUAGGCAUGAACAAGAAUGUGUUUUGAUUCCUUUAUUUCUGGCAAAUUGCAAAUAAUUUGGUAUAGUGCUACUCAAAAUGUGGACCCAAGCUGGUAGACCAGUUAUCAGUUACCAACCCAUGGUGAGAUUAUGAGCUUGUAGCAGAGUGUAAAUCAACUGUGUCUAUAAACACUGCUUAGUUUACCUGACUUUUUUUCUCCCUUUUUCACUUUUUCUUUGAAAUAUUCUUAGGCUUACAUCAAAGUUGAAAAAUAGCACAGAAAGUGUGCAUAGAUCCCUCACCCAGCUUCCUCUUAUGUUUUUAUCUCAUGUAAUUAUUAAAAUGUAGAAAUUGCCAUUAGUACAAUACUUGAAUUAGCACUCAGACUUUGAUUUCACCAGUUUUUCCACUUAUGCUUUUUUCUGGUCCAGGAUCGAAUAUAGGGUCCCGCAUGGCAUUUAGUCAUCAAGUCUCCUUAAUGUCCCCCCAAAACAUGGGCUUAUCCCUUAGCCUCACCUUGUUUUCCCAUGACUUUGACACAAGAGUACAGGUCAGUUAUCUUGGACAGGGCCCCUCAAUUUGGGUUUGUCUCUUUCCUCGUCAUUAGAUUGAAGUAAUGCAUUUUGCUUUCUGAAUGUAUGCAUCACUUCUAAAUAUCACAGAAGUAAUGUGCCCUCCAUAUUCUAUCAUUACAGGGGCAAAAGAUGUUAGAAUGUGUUUUCGCUGGGGCCACUGACCUUCAUCACUUGGUGAAGGUGGUAUCUAUUGAGCUACUCCACUGUAAAGCUGCUAUUUCCCCAUUUCCAAUUAAUUAAUAUCCUAGGUGAGAUAUUUUCAGACUAUGCAAAUAUUUCAUUGCUUUUCAAACUAUUGCUUAUAAUUUUAGCAUACAUCAUGGAUCUUGCCUGCAACAUUUAUUACUGUGGUGUUUGCCUAAUUUUUCUGUUGUCUUUCUUUUUACAUCUAUUAAUUGGCAUUCUUCUAUAAGGAAGGGCUAUCCCUUCUUCCCCAUUUUUUUCUUUAUUCAAUUACUAACUUACAUCAUUGUCAUGUUUAUUUUCUUCUAUGGGCUAUAAUCUAAUAUUACUCUUAUUUAUUUUGCUCUUCAAUUGUUCUAGUUUGGCCAUUGUUCUAGCUUUGGCCAUUGUUCUAGCAUUGGUCAUUGAGAGCUCUUCCAGGUCAGCUCCUGUAACCUUCAAUAUGUCCUCAGCCCUCAAGCAUUUUCUUGCUUCUGGACCAUAGGAUACUCCAGAAUCUUCUUGAAAUUUUUUUCUAUCUCAGCCCUGGAAUCAAACACUUCUCCAAGGAUCCCUGAUUUCUUUUAUUGGAGAAUGAUAUUUAAAAACCAAGAUUUGAGCACUAGGUGUCUUCAUUGCUAUCAACUUCUUUUUAUGUCAGUAUUUCCUUGAUGAAGAGAUCUUCCCAUUUUGAAAGUGAGUCAACUAGCUCCUUAUCUUUUCAUGGGCCAGUAACAAUUUGUGACCCUGCCAUUUGAGUCUCAGUGGUCUUAAAGAUCUGUCACCAUGGACAUGUCACCCAUCUGGUGGUAAUUUAAGUUUCAUGGAGAAAGUUAUGAAUCAAUGUUAUUCUUUCACUCAUGCACGAAGUAAGUACGUGUGGAGCACAAAAUAUGUGUUGGGCCUUGCAGUGGGUGCUAGGCUUACAAUAUGCAUGAUGUUCUCCUGAGGAGAUUAUAAUACAGUGUCUUCUAUUAAAUCUAGGAGAUGGUACUCCUUUUUUUGGUCACUGCACAUUAUAAGAACUCAUUUAAGAUUAUUCAGCAUUCUAAAACCUCAGGGAUUCAGCCUCAGGGAUUUUUAAUUUUGAUUUUGGAUCCAGAAGUUGUUAGAAUAUGAACAGACUAUUCCCUAGCACAGCAGCACUUGGUAUCAUUAAAAACUUUUGCCCGUGACUUGAUUCUGACAUUUGGGUAGUUGACUCUUUUAGGCCUUAUGCAAGGAGGCUGGAAAUACAUAUAUGGACUUGAAACGACUUUUGGUGUCUAACUGCUCACUUUAGUCAUUGUGUAGAGCAGUCUGCUGGCAGGAAGGAGGAGAGGUUUGCUGUAGAAGAGGGCUUCAUCUUCAGUACUUCCCUCUCUCAUGGGGCUGGGGGAGAGAUAGGAGUCCUCUUCAAACUGGUCUCAGACCCCAAAGUGAUCCCCUUGGCAAAAGCGUGUUUCCAAAGACUCUUUGUUACUUGACCUUAAUCUACUCCACCUGCACAUCUAGUUGGAUCUGGGUUCAGAUGGACGGAGAUUAGCAGUGAAAUCACUUAACGUCACAUAGAUGUGCAUUAUCUCCACUCCUACCUCCUGUACUUCCCAUCUGGUUUAGUACAAUCUGGCAUUAUUUCAGUGUUUCUGACUUUGGCUUGUUAUUAGUAUUUCCUGUAACUUUUUGAGCAUGCAUGGACGAAGAAUCUCUUUCACAGCUUGGAAAGGUAUCUCUGGCAAAGAGACUUCUGUUGGUAGGGCAAUACAAUCCUAUCAAACGAGCCAAUUGUCUGGAAGCAUCUGUUGGUCUUUUUUACUUUUGGAAAAGAUGGGAGUGCUGAAAACAGAUACUAAGGCUUGUUCUCCCUACAUUGUUCCUUUCUGGGAUCCAUGAAAUUAUGAGUAUUUUGUGUCACUGAAUACAUGUGUGUUUUUGGCAUGCAGAGUAUACAUGCAAUGGCUGACUUAUUACCUGUUCUUGGGAGGAAGGGAACAGUGGAGCUGUGGUCAAGUCGAUAGUCAUGCACUCUGGUUAGAAAUGAGAGGACAACAGGAUCAAUGGUAUUUGCCUUGAAAAGUAACUUAGGCUCUGAGAAUCCAUUUGCCGGAUGUGUCAAAGAGGGGCAACUAGGUGUGCACUUCUUAGCAUAUAGUGCCAUUCACCUAGGGUGGCUGAUCCUCCAGCCUUGAGCUUGGUAGAUGGCCAGUGGCCAGAUUAUGGAUAUAAAUCUUUAGUGCCUAUCUCAGUGUUUGUGUUGAUGCUUUUCACAAAAAUUUUGUUUGUGUGUGCCUGUGUGUUUCUCUAUUUUAAUACAUGAAAUCCAGUUUAGAGAACACCUUUGUGUGCCCCUUCCUGCUUGUAAUGCAGUGGUCUGCCCUUGAGAAUUUUAAGUGAGGUGACCUACAUAGCUUAACUAUUUCAGUCAGAAAUAACAGGGAGUGUGGAUUGGUGAGAGGUGGAGGGCACAGAGGGAAAAGUCCCUCCCAGGAGCUUUGGUACAGGCAAGGCAAUAGAAGCGACAAGGGAUUCUGGGGGGGAAUCUUAACUGAUAGCCAUCAUGCCUGCUUUGACACCGUGCUAUGGCUGCACCUCUUGUGAAGGUGGCUUCUUGGUAUGGUAUCCCAUUCUAUGGACCUGUAUGGGGUCUUUAUGGGAUUGAGGCUAAUUGUCUUCUGGGGAAGAAUUAGGACAGUGUUAUUCCUUAAUUUUCCAAACAUCUACUCUUUCAUUGCCAGCUGUCUCUACACGUGAUUCUCUGAAGGGGUGGUGCUCUCCCCAUCUCUCCAAGCCUUGUCUCAAUGUGGAGAGGAAAUGCUGUUUAUGGUAGAUGGUAGCCAUUCUUCCAUUCUUAUUCUCCAGUUCUUCCUUCCUGCUCAGAAUUCUGACUCCACAGAAAUUCCUAAUUAGCUCAGUUGCUCUACAAUGACAAGCUAACAUCUGGAGCUACCAAGUCAGGAAAGACAUUCGGCCUGGAUCCAACAUAGAUUUUCUCCCCUUCUCACCCAGCUCAGCAGCUGGGCAUUGCACCAACCCCGACAUUGUGGGAUGAAGAUGCCAAGGGCUGGAGCAACUGAGGGCUAAUUGUUUCACCCAAAAAAUCAUGGAUGGAGACACGUGCACAGGAGAUGUAAAAGCCAUUUCUAGUCUCCAUUCUUCAGUUCCAGCUCAUGGACAUCCUACCAUCUAUCUGCUUGCCAUGUAUAGAGCUUAUUAUGGGACUGGAACUAAGUGUUACACAUAAUUAACUCAUUCAGGGUUCACAGGACCUGAUAAGGUAGGUACUACUGUUAUCCCUUUUUCUAAUAGGGGAGGACUCUUGAAGCUUUGAGGAGGUAUUAAAUUUGCUCACAAACAUUUGCUUCUGGAGCUAGGGUUAGAGAGCAAGUAUUUUGACCUCAGGAUUUGGCCUCAGCCUGCUAUACCGAAGACAUACUGUCAGUCACAUGGGUUCCAUCCUCUCCCAGCCCCAAGGGUUUUCAGAGAAGAAUCCACAGUGCUCCUUGGGUCAGUGUGGCUCAAACUCAAAUUUGCAUGUGAAUCAUCUGGGGAUCUUGGUGAAAUGUGAUUCUAAUUCAUUAGGUCUGGGGAGUGGCCUCAGAGUCUCAGCUCCAAUAAGCUCCCAGCUGAUGUCAAUGUGGCUAAUUCGUGGUCCACUCAUCAAGCAGGAAAGCCUUAGUAGUCUAUCCUAUGGUUUUCACUGUCAGAUUGCACUUAACUGGCUACAGAAGAAACACUUGCAUUUGAAUGGAGGGCUCUUUCAGCAAUAGAGUAAUAACCAAUAUGAAUUUAAUGAGUGAUCCAUUGGCAAAGAAAAGACUUGUAACAGCAGGGAGUAAUCAAUUUCUGUUUAAAAAAACUAAUUUUCCUAGGACUUUAAUAGAAAAUGGAAAGAUUAUGUCCUCCCUUUCUGUGUAGUAGCCAAUGGUCUUUCAUUUGUUCUUGGGCUAACCUCAGUACUUCUGGGCUAGUUUCAGUCCUAUUUUUUUCUGAGUCCGCAUUACAAACCUUUCUCCCAGCCACACCCCAGCAACGUACAAGGGAUCAGACGCCAAGUUAGAUUCCAUCAGAGAGGCAGAGUCACCAUGGUAACCACAUCCUUUGAGUCUUGUGUGUUUCCAGCAACCCGAGCAGAGCCAGUAGUUGAAGUGAACCAAGUUGUUCUCCAGAGAGAUGGGGGAAGUGGUGUCCUGCCUACAUUAGGCUGCUGUCUCUUCACCCCUGCAACUAGGGGCUUCCACUUGCUGUGAAGGGUCUAGACUCUCAGAACCUCUUCCCCUCCCCGGAAUCUUAAAGUUAGCCUUCCGGGGUGUUUUCUGAUCCUAACUGCCCAACACCAUGAGAAUACUGCAGUGCCUUGGGAUACUCUUGUUCUUCUGGUUUGAGUUUUGGUGGAUAACCACGUCUGAGUCUUCCUGUGUUAAUGUGUCGCUGUUUUGGUUUGUCUGCUUACUGGUGGUGUGGGGCAUGUGGCAAAUCCGGUAGUGAACGGGCCAGGGAAGACCAGACCCCAUCUCAUGGAGAAUCUUAAUUCUGAUGUAUGGAAUCGGUGAAAGUGUGGCUAGCUAUAUCAGGUUUUCAUUUUAUAUGUUAAGACAAAAGGCUACCUUCUAUAAUUUGGAACAAUCUCUCCUUCCUGCCUCUCUCCAUGGCCUCCACUGCCUAAGGGACGAUGGUGUGGGUUCACUUUGUCCAUCUUAUUUGGAUGACAUCAUCAAAGAAGCACUCUGUACCUCUCCAUUGAGACUCAUCAGAUGACCUAAUGUUUGAUGGAGCUGAGAAAAAAGAAACCAAAAUGACCCGAUGGAACAUAAAUGCUGAUUUCAGUUAUUAUCAUUUGAUAGAAACAAUGAACUCAGUUGCAUUAGCUUGGCGGCAUGAUUUCUUGAAAGGCACCUUUCAGAUAUGGAAACACUUUAGAGGGUUGCGUUGAGGCUCUAAGGAGACAUUGAGCACUCAAUUCCCAGUGGCCAAUGGUUGACCUCUUUUGAGACAUUUCCAACUGGAAAGGAAGGACAGGUCUUCCUGCCUCUCGUGGAACCUCGCUUUUAAUGAUGUGGCUUUAUGAAGAUGUGACCUAAGGAAGAACUGGUACAGACAAUGCUUUUUAAUCUCACUCGCCUUAUUCUUCAUUUUUAUACCUAAACUUCAAGAAACCAGUGUUAGCUAACAGCACUGUUUUUACUGCAAAGCAAAGCUUCAGGAAGGGGCAUCCUUUGAUAGAACAUUAAUUAACAAAUUUGCUGUCAGUCUAAAUUAAAACCUACACUGCUUCCCUUUGCCCUCCCAAGCUCUACUCUUAUAUAUUCCCUCCAGAAUGUUUUAAGUGGUGUAAAAGUGACAGUGCUUGGUUUCAAUAUUGAAAACCUAAAGUUAAUAAAUGCAGUUUUGACUGCU